CCUACGGGGGGCUGCAGUGGGGAAUAUUGGACAAUGGGCGCAAGCCUGAUCCAGCCAUGCCGCGUGUGUGAAGAAGGCCUUCGGGUUGUAAAGCACUUUCAGUGGGGAAGAAAGCCUUGGGGCUAAUACCCUCGAGGAAGGACAUCACCCACAGAAGAAGCACCGGCUAACUCCGUGCCAGCAGCCGCGGUAAUACGGAGGGUGCGAGCGUUAAUCGGAAUUACUGGGCGUAAAGCGCGCGUAGGCGGUCUGAUAAGCCGGUUGUGAAAGCCCCGGGCUCAACCUGGGAACGGCAUCCGGAACUGUCAGGCUAGAGUGCAGGAGAGGAAGGUAGAAUUCCCGGUGUAGCGGUGAAAUGCGUAGAGAUCGGGAGGAAUACCAGUGGCGAAGGCGGCCUUCUGGACUGACACUGACGCUGAGGUGCGAAAGCGUGGGUAGCAAACAGGAUUAGAUACCCCUGUAGUC
rnacentral:rRNA from 1 species